rnacentral:lncRNA from 1 species
CUAGAAACUUAUCUCAUUUUCUCUAGAAAUGAGCAUAUAUUAUGUUCGAUUCUUUACUUUGGUUCCAUUAGGUACCAGCUUCUGCAAAAUCCGGAGCCUCCCAUUGAUCCUCUCUCUUCUUCUCUGCAUUACAUGGAACAAAACUCUGAACCAAUACUUCCAACAUGCAAGAUUGAAUCACCUGCAAGGCUCCAGAAAUGCUGGGCUUACCCUUGCAUAGAGGCUCUGGGCAAUGGUCGCCGACCUCCGGCGAGCCGGAACCUUCCCGUUUCCGCCGCCGGCGACACGAUCCACCUUGCGGCGGUUCACUUGGGAGCAAUUGGACUCGUUGUCGGAGCAGCUGCCGCUCUGCAUACUCUCCUGAUUCCGAUGCAUAAUCACGUGCAAAUUACAACGAUCUCCUCCAUGGCCGGCCUGAGUCCUCCGCUUCGCCUGCGGCGCCGCGUCACGGAGUACUACUCCGGCGCCGUCAUUGUCGCCGACGAGGAGGUUGAGGCCGAUGGGCACGUCGGGCUCGCCGACGUAGUAGCAGCGCUCGCCGAUGUAGCCGCCUUCGCCGGUGCCGGAGCUGCCGCUGCCGCUGCCGCCGCCGCCGUCCCCACUGAGAGGCGGCGGCCAGUAGCACGUGCCACGGUCAGGUUGCCAAUGCACGGAGCUGCACGCUCCAAUGCCACCUAG